UUGUAAGGCAGGGACAAUUUGAAUAAUGGCUGGUAUAUAUUUUUCGAAAGGACAGUGGGCAUUGAGUUUUAUUUUUUUCAAAUAUUUUUGGUCCCCGUCUAACUUGGAGCAUCCUUUGAAUUUUUACACUUGGCAAAAUUUGAACUACUUAGUAUGCAAAGUGCUUACUGAAUCACCAUUUAACUCUAAUGUAUUGCAGCCAGAGCAUCUCCUAGCCUCUCGACUGAAACAAUUUUCUUUCCUCCCUUGCCCUCCUCUUGGGUUUUUUUUGAAACCCAAACAGCACUCUUCCUCUGACUUUACAAGCCCAGAAAACAGAUACAGUAUGUAGUAAUUCUUAAAAACUCAAAAGCCAGCACAUUGCUUUGGGGUUUGUUUUUAAGUUUUUAAUUUGGUCCUUAUAAAGGUCUGGUACUGUUGCUAUUUGGGUUUUUUCUAAGAACCAACAUAGCUGCCUCCAUUUAUUUUAUUGUCUUAAGUUAUUCUAAUUGCUUAAUUGGUUUUGGCUUGUCUCAACAGAGAUUACAAGGUAUACAACAGAAAACCCAUACUGUUCACAGGUGAUGCUUUUGUGGCAGAAGACUCACCAGUCACCAAUCACCACAUUUAUCCUUACCCAAAAUACAUUUUUAUAUGCAAUACUGUAUAUUAAGUAAGCUAUGACUACACACUCCUCCUCCUUAUGGAACAGUGAACUGAAACAAUGGUGCAAACAUUCCGUUUUAUUUUAUUUUAUUGUGAGACUUGAAGCUCUGAAUUCAAGCUUUUCCCAAUCAAACGAAAAGGGUCUAUUCUAGUAUAUCUCAAACCUUCAAAAGCUAAAGGAAUUCUUCUGGGUUUUAUAAAAUAAGGGCAGGUAGUCUUGCAUCUCCUAGAGUGUAUGGCAGGGGAACUUAUAAUUGAUCAUGCCAGGAAAUGAAUGGUUAGGAUAAAUCCCAUACAUAAAUGUUCAAUACAUUGAUGGCAAAACUCAGAGUUUCCCUACAAUAUCAGCUUGUAAAAUAAAAUACAACUUUGCUUUUCCAGUGUGGUGUAUAUCUAAAGCGGAUAAGCUUAAAAAUACUGGAUAAAAUGGCAAAUGAUGUUAACAUAGAGUUGCACUGAGAAGGUAGAUUGAGUAAAUUUCUGGAUUCAGAUUUGUAAAUUUGGACAAUAGCAGUUCUAUUGUAUUGCUGUUUCUGGAUCAUUGUUAAAUGUUUUGGUUUUUUAAUGAUGGCAGUUAGUCUUAAUGAAAUAAAUGUAUGUGCAUUUUUUUAUUUAACUUUUUUUUUUUGCACUGAGGUGAAAUGGAAGGAAUAUAAACUCUGGUACAUCCACAUUUUAAAAACUGUUCUUAACCAGUAGAAUAAUCUGUAAACAUGUAGGGAAAGUACUUUUUAAGUACCCUACAUGUACUUAACUUGGAAUAUUUUGCAUGUUCACUCCACAUAACCUUGAAAGAAAAGGGUGGAGAUUCUAGAUUCGAGGAGUGGGACUAUGUGAAAUUGUCUCUUGCCCAAAAUGUAGCAUAAUUGACAGACACCAACAGACUAUACAUGGUUUCGGAUUCUGUGUUUUGGUAUUUUGAAAGAAAUACUAUCACACAGGAGUUAGUCUUCCCCCUUACAAAUGCUGCAGCUUAACGUUGCUGUUCCUGGGCUGCACUUGAUACAAUCUGAGGCCCUUAUCAUUCAUCAUACUUGUCCAGUUUUCUGAAGCAAACAUUAACAUCUCGCUCCUUUCUAAAUCUUUGAAUAGUCAGAUAAACACUGCAUUGAAUGUUAUUUUUUUGAACUGAAUCACAAAUUGUGGAGGUCUGGUAUGUUAAUGGCACUGUACUCUAGGUCGCAGACAUGGACCCCAUGGUCAUGAACUGAAUAAAAAUAAUGCAACAAGGGUAAACAAUAUGUAGACUUGUAGGUGACACUGAUUAGCCCUUUACAAAGAAAGCAGACUCUUUUAACAAUCUGUCAAAUGUCAUUUAUUAAAUCAGAUCAAUAGAUACAAGCAAUAAAUAUAUUGAAUAAGGAAAAAACCAGUGAUGGCAACCAGCUCUCUUUUUACAGGUUAAUAACAUUGUGAUGCACUGUAGUUGUAAUUUAGCUACUUUUUAAAAGUAACAAUAAUGAUGAAAAUAAUUGCAUUUGAUGCCAUCAGCAGGUGCUGUAUUUUUGCUGUAAUGCAUGGAAAAAGGGAAAGGAACAUCAGCUGCCAACAUUGUGUGUUCUGUCAACAUGAUUAAGUGGUAGCAGAGGGACUGCUGGGAACAUACACUGGAAAUGCCACACAACGUGACCUUUCUCGGAGUAAAAAUGUGGCUGGAGGUGGGAAUGAAACUAGGUUCCAAAGGCAAAUUGAAGGCACUGUUGCUUAUAUCAAUGAUCAAUGCAUUUUUACCAAUACAAAUACCUCUUUCUAGUU